GACGAACCGUCCAAACGUUGUUCGGAAUCACUGGGCUUAAAGGGCGCGUAGGCGGACUGCCAAGUCCGGGGUGAAAUCUUUCGGCUUAACCGGAAAAGGGCCUUGGAAACUGGCGGUCUCGAGGGAGGUAGGGGCCUGUGGAACUUCGGGUGGAGCGGUGAAAUGCGUUGAUAUCCGAAGGAACGCCGGUGGCGAAAGCGACGGGCUGGAUCUCUUCUGACGCUGAGGCGCUGAAA
rnacentral:rRNA from 1 species